ACCUUAGAGACCAACUAAGUUUGUUAUUGGUAUGAGCUUUCGUGUGCAUGCACACUGAUAUAACAACACAAAAACUCAUACCAAUAACAAACUUAGUUGGUCUCUAAAGU